rnacentral:rRNA from 1 species
CCCGUUGUACACACCGCCCGUCACACCAUGGGAGUGGGUUGCAAAAGAAGUAGGUAGCUUAACCUUCGGGAGGGCGCUUACCACUUUGUGAUUCAUGACUGGGGUG